CGACUUCUCUGGGUCCUCUUCCUGGGACCGCAGGACAUCAGGACCUGGCCAGGGUGCUAAGUAAAUCGGAAUUGGCAUCUAAUUUUCUUGUGCUGGCCUCAGUUUCCUCGUUUUUAACUCGGCAAUCAAUCUACAGAGAAUGAGCUUUACAAGUGGUGCCGAAACCCGGGAGGGAGUUGUACGACCCCUCCUGGGGGAAACUGACGCCUUCACCUGGAGCCGGACCAGGGGACCCCUCGGUUGCGAGGCAGCAGGGAACUGCUCCAUUGCAAGUCAGCAGCUGAUAAAAGGAGGAAACUGAAGAAAGCUGAGGAAGGCCCCCAAACGCCCAUACGGGACCUGGUGAACACGGCAUUUAAAGCUUUCAAUGGCCGAGAGGAACAGGCUGAGGCCACCCGCCAGGCCCAUUUACAGCAAAAGGAGAUUAUCCCUCGUUUCGGCUUACCUGGAAGCAUUCAGUCAGACAACGGUCCAGUGUGGACAGCCCGGGUGAUCGAGCUAGUUGCCAAGUCUCUCAACAUCUCCUGGAAACUACACAUCCCCUACCACCCUCAGUCGUCGGGUAAAGUUGAAUGGGCUCACGGCAUCCUCAAGAAUCAUUUGGCCAAACUCACCAUAGAGCAUCGUUUCAGGAUGAGUAUUUCAUGUCAAGUGGAUUCAAGGAACAGUGUGAAGGAUCCAUGGCCUCAGUCACCGUGAAGACCCUCCCAAGAGCCAGCCCUACUGGGCACAUGUAAAUGAGUGGAGACAUGGAACCCACCCUUAAAAGGCCUAAACCUGACAGAGCACACAAGACAGAAGCCCAGAUAACCAGGAGCAGGAAGCUGAAGGUCCCCUUCUGUAUCACCAUGGAAAAUACAUUCCUUUGCUGCCUAGGCCCCAGGGCUGGGCUCUGUUGUGCCUGCUGCAGGCAGAAGGUGGUGCCUUGCUGUGAAUCCGAGACUCUGCGGCAGCUGCAGCGCCAGCAUCCACCACUGCAGAGCCUGCCGUGUUAUAUCCCAGAGUGGUGGACAUCCAGUAUUUGCGGCGCAUCAACUCAGAGAGGCGCAAAGGUAAAGAAGCCACGGGUACCAUUUGCUCUCUGGCACAUCUCUGGCCACCACCUCCCCACCUCCUUCCCAUCCCCUCACCCCAGAGACAUCCUCAGCUUCCAGCUCCGUCCUGCCUU